GCUGGAGGAUCAAGAAGGCUGAGUGUGAAGAAACUAGACUUUGCUGAUACACUCCUCCUAUACAAAGGGGUGGAGAGAGCAGCCCUUACUGCAGAAAACCACAGGGCUCACUGUACUACCCAACAUUU